AUUGAACGCUGGCGGCAGGCCUAACACAUGCAAGUCGAGCGGUUGACGGGAGCUUGCUCCCUGAUUCAGCGGCGGACGGGUGAGUAAUGCCUAGGAAUCUGCCUAUUAGUGGGGGACAACGUUUCGAAAGGAACGCUAAUACCGCAUACGUCCUACGGGAGAAAGCAGGGGACCUUCGGGCCUUGCGCUAAUAGAUGAGCCUAGGUCGGAUUAGCUUGUUGGUGAGGUAAUGGCUAACCAAGGCGACGAUCCGUAACCGGUCUGAGAAGAUGAUCAGUCACACUGGAACUGAGACACGGUCCAGACUCCUACGGGAGGCAGCAGUGGGGAAUAUUGGACAAUGGGCGAAAGCCUGAUCCAGCCAUGCCGCGUGUGUGAAGAAGGUCUUCGGAUUGUAAAGCACUUUAAGUUGGGAGGAAGGGUUGUAGAUUAAUACUCUGCAAUUUUGACGUUACCGACAGAAUAAGCACCGGCUAACUCUGUGCCAGCCGCCGCUGUAACAC
rnacentral:rRNA from 1 species